GGUUGUCGUCAGCUCGUGCCGUGAGGUGUCGGGUUAAGUCCCAUAACGAGCGCAACCCUUAUCGUUAGUUGCCAUCUGGUAAUGCAGGGGACUCUAGCGAAACUGCCACGUAAGGUGAGAGGAAGGUGGGAUGACGUCAAAUCAGCACGGCCCUUAUGUCCAGGGCUACACACGUGUUACAAUGGUCGGUACAGAGGGCAGCUACCUGGUGACAGGAUGCUAAUCUCGAAAACCGGUCUCAGUUCGGAUCGAAGUCUGCAACUCGACUUCGUGAAGCUGGAUUCGCUAGUAAUCGCGCAUCAGCUAUGGCGCGGUGAAUACGUUCCCGGGCCUU
rnacentral:rRNA from 1 species